UCCUCUCAUCGUCAGCAACCUUUUUUUCUUUUUUUCUUCUUCACUCGACGGCUGCGACGGGUUUCUUUGUUGUUUUUUUUUUUUUUUGAUGGAAGCAUCCUUCUCUUUUUUUGGUGUGACUUCUUUUCCAAAAUAGGAUCUUGUGGCUUUUCCAAAUAGGAUCCUGUGGCUGCCUUCGAGGCUCUGCAACUCUAGGGGCUUGAUCACAAUGGUGCUGCUACCAUCGUCAGCCUUGAUGCCAUAUUUUCCUUGGCACGUUUAAGCAGCUUAGAAAAGUUGUAGUGCUUUAGAGGUGUUGGUGUGGCGGUUGCAGAUCACUUAAAUUUAAUUGGAACUUCACGGGGUGGUUUAGACCACCCCGAAGAAAUUCAUGGGAUUAACUACAACGUCACGGACUACUACUCAGCAUAAACGAACUUGAUGGGUAGAGAGGUCACGACAUGGCUGCAACAUCCUUUUGGGCUUUCAUUUGACGUCCGUGACGGUGCUACAAGUGUCUUCACUGAUGGAGAAAGGAAGGUGACAGAGGCCUACGGCUUUAUUCUCUAGUUUGAAAUCGCCGUGAUGGAGAGCGAAGCCAAUUGCUUCAUUUUCUUUUCCUGUAGAACUGAGAGAAACCAAACAAAGAAAUCUAGAAAGAUAGAUAUGUACCUUUAAAUGUUUUGGUCCUUUCCUUUGCCGUGUCUCCUUUUUUCCUUCUUUUUUCGCUUUGCUCUCCUCCUUCGUUCUUCUUCUCUGGCGAGAUCUCUCAAUUUCUCUCCUAAUUUCUGCAAGGUCUUCUUCCUUUUUAUUCUUCCUUUCUCCGCGACUGAUGCCUAUUUAUAGGCAUCAUAGGAAGCCUCUGGAGCUUUUACGUGGGGGAGAUAGAGGCCCUAUUUUUCUCCACCCUCUCCCGCUAACUGUGUAACCUCCCAUGUCUUACAGAAAACCUUCCACGUUUUGCAGAAGAUGGGAGUUUUGCUCCACGUUCUCUCCCCUUUUGUAGGAAGAAACGUGUUUUCUUCUCUUUUUUAUUUUAUUUUAUCUUUGGUUCCUGUUUCCUUGUGGACUUGGAUUCCCAAGUCUAAACUUUUCCACGUGGGCAGCACUCCUAUUUUCUUUUGAGGAGUUUGUUUGCCGCAAACUUCUUCUCUUUUUAUUUUUUUUUUGUAUAGGGGUUUAUCUUCAUGCUAGUUAAUAGGGAAGGGAAUUCAAAUUCCCCUAUUUUAGCAUUCUCCCAAAACCCUCUUUGAAUUUAUUUCAAUCAGUUCUUCUGGACAAGCUUCUCCUGUACCAUUUUUGUUGUUCGUUAUUUUUUUGGAGAGAAGAACAGAACGGUGUCUUUUGGUGGUGACCCCUUGCUUUUGAAGGCUUGCCUGAUGUCUUCGUACAAAACAGUAUGACUCUUUUUGUUUCUUUGGUUUUGAUGUACAACCUUUCUUUCAUUUAUCUUUAUUUGUAUGUUAUUUUUUGUUUCAACAAUACUUGUAUGGAAGGAAGCAAUGAGUAUUGAUCUACUGUACCACAAGGAACAAAAGAAAUUGUUGUGCCUAUUUCGAGGAGUUAACCUCCUUUUAUUUAUUAUUAUUUUUUUUUUUGAUCAACAGUA